GCCGGGAUGGCGGAAUUGGUAGACGCAGCGGACUCAAAAUCCGCCGCCGAAAGGUGUGGGGGUUCGAGUCCCCCUCCCGGCACCA
rnacentral:tRNA from 2 species